rnacentral:lncRNA from 1 species
UUGCUGCGACAUGGGUUGGAGUAUAAAUAAAGACGAUGAACCAUUCGCCGCAUGUACAAAAGCAGUGAAUGGUUCACCGCCUUACAAAAAUUAUAACAGUCCCGUAAAAACGAUGAACCAUUCACCGCAUUUAUCAAAGCGGUGAAUGGUUCACCAUAUUUCUUCUCUUUUUUUUUUGAGAGAGAUAGGUAGCACGCUACCCGCUUCAUUUAUUUCAUUUAGAAAUAAACUUAGCUGUAAAUGUGAAUCAACUAGGAUUCAAACUUGGGUCUCGGGUACCAACCACCAAGCCCUUUGCUACUUGCUCUAGGGACGGUAUUUCAGUACUUAUUUCAGUACUUAUCAUUUUUGCCCACUGAGAAAGUUGUGAAGAUGGGAAAUAAUUAAAAGCGGUAAAUUAUUCAUCAUUUUUAAGGCUAUAAAUCAUUCACUGUCUAUAAAAACAGUGAAUGGUUCACCGCUUUUAGUCGUUUCCUCCAAACAGCCUGCAAUGAGUUUUCAAACUUUCCUAUAUUUACAUAAUAGCAACUUUUUUGAGCAUUUAAAUCACAAUAAAAAAUACAUAGAUUGAACUAAACGAACAUCAACUACACUUUAACAUGAAUAAAAUAAUAUAAAAAUAUAAAAAUUAUAUGUACACAAGAUCAGAAAUAUCAAAUAUAUAUCAAAAUCCAAAAAGUCCUAACAAAAUCAACUCCUGUCCAUGCUUUUUCCAUACCCUCGCCCUCCUCCCCUACCAUAUCCACGUCCACAUCCAUAUUCACAUUGUCGAUCCCAUCCUUGAAUAUCCACAUCAUCCUCCUACUCAG